GAUGAAUACGUAAUUAAAUCACGUGAGCAUGAUGUUUGAACAUAAUUCACAACUGAAUUCACAAAGCAGUAACAGGUAACUGCGCAGCAGACUUUCAGAUCAGUUCAUUACAUUUUUCAGUCGAAAGUGCAUUACAGGAGCCCAGAGAUGAUCAAAAAUUGAGAGCAGAAGAAAUUUGAGGCUGACCAGGAUCCUGAAGUGAGGAGCAGUCCCUUUCCCAUUUAACAGCAUUCAUGAGCAGAAAAUGGGGAAGCAGAAAUGCUGAGACAGUUCAGAAGAAACAUCACCAGAAGCCACAGCAACAGCAAAGGAAGCUUAUAUGGAAGUAUUUUUGAUUUUCUCCUUUCUUUCCCCUACCCCCUGGCCCCUGCUGACUCUAACAUAACUAACCAUCCCCUUCCCUUUCCCCCUCAUUCGUCUUCCUGAAUUCACUG